rnacentral:ribozyme from 12 species
AUAAAGUAAAUCAAAUCAUCCAAGAGAGAAGAUAGGAAACCGACCGCAUGUUCGUACUUUCCUUUUUUUUCUUUUUUUCUUGUGUUUU